rnacentral:rRNA from 1 species
AGCGAACGUUUGCGGCGGGCUUAACACAUGCAAGUCGAACGAGAACGGUUCCCUUCGGGGAGCUUAGUAAAGUGGCGCACGGGUGAGUAACACGUGGGUAAUCUACCCUUCGGCGGGGGACAACCACUGGAAACGGUGGCUAAUACCGCAUACGAUCGAAGACUCCUCUACGGAGGUGUUUUCGGAGAAAGGCUUCGGCCACCGAAGGAUGAGCCCGCGUCCCAUCAGCUUGUUGGUGAGGUAAUGGCUCACCAAGGCUAAGACGGGUAGCUGGUCUGAGAGGAUGAUCAGCCACACUGGGACUGAGACACGGCCCAGACUCCUACGGGAGGCAGCAGUGGGGAAUAUUGGACAAUGGGCGAAAGCCUGAUCCAGCCACGCCGCGUGUGUGAUGAAGGCCCUCGGGUCGUAAAGCACUGGGAGAGGGA